GUGCUCACUUCGGCAGCAAAUACACUAAAAUUGGGAUGACACAGAGAUUAGCAUGGCCCCUGCGCAAGGAUGCCAUGCAAAUUAGUGAAGCGUCCCAUAUUUUU
ensembl:snRNA U6 U6 spliceosomal RNA